UUACCCAAAGGAAAAAGAAAAUUACACACACAAAAACACACAAAAAAUCCAAUUUACCGCCUACCUGUAUGCGGUUCAUUCUCAUCUCACCAAAAAUUUCUCCAUAAACCUAAACUAAUAUUUUCAUUCCAAUUCCCCCAAUCCAAAAUUUUAAGAUUUCCUUUCAAUUCAAAAUCGUCGAUCAAUUCCCUUCGAAAUUGGCCGAGUUUAUUUGUGAUUUUGCUAGCGUCACCUUCGACAAACCUAUACAACGACGACGAAAUUCAGUUGCGCAGGAUUUGGAUUACUUCUUCUUCUUGUUAAAUUGCUCAGAAAUUUGUUGUGCAUUAUAAAUUAUAAAUUGUGAAUUGUUUUAAGAGGAUGCAGUCCAAGAGGGUUUUGAGGGAGCUGAGAAGAUAGGAGUGUCCUACAUCUCGGAAUGCAGGUAAAAUUAAUUUAUCAUCAAUCUUGUAAAAUAGCGUUUGUAUGGAACCUGUGAAUUUGAUUAUGAUUUUAUUUAUAUCCUGUAACUAUUGAUUUCCAGAGAUAUGAGUGUCUUUGCCUCUCUUAGUGUCUUUGCCUCUCUUAAUGUCAUCGCAUCUUCUAACCCAUGGCUUUCCUAGUGUAGCUUUAAUGUUAUUAACCGGUGUAUCAAUGUCUGUGGAUUUUAAGCUACCGUGUAGACAUGGUUGUCAUGAACUUUUUCCAUGUGUCACGAAGUAGCUAUCUAGUUGAAUUUGGUUUUUUAGUUCCUUCUUAUUAUUGCAAGUCCCGAGUCUGUUUGGUCAUUGCUUCCGAACAUCUUGACAAUGGUGAAACACAAAUGGGACCAGUUGCUAUCAUAAUAUAAAAUACGAACUAUUGAAGUUGGUAUUUUCAUAUUUAUGCCAAGAGAUAAAAUUUGUAAUAUGUUACCUUCAAGGGGGUACACACCGUAAUGCUGCCAAGAAGUCUGCCAAGCUCAUGUAAAAACAUUGCAAUACUGUAUUCCUGUUCGGAAAGGCAAAUUUGUUUAGUGUCGGGGAUGUUGUCUCCUGCACAUAUGUUUAACCAAUGAUUGUCGGGAGAGAGUUCUACGGUUUCUUUGAAGGAGAAACAUCAGAAGAUCUUGCAGGUCAGGGUAAGUGUUUAUAAACCAUUAAAAUAAGUUUUAAGUUCUAAUGGUGAACUAUUAUUCUCUGCUUGCGUUUCUGAUUAGUGUACAAUAAUGGUUUUAUGGUGCAAAGUUGUGAUUUUAACAUUGUAAACACUGUACAUUACAUGAUCUCUUUCUUGCUUCCUCGGUGCAAGAUUUCAACCAAGGUAUUCAUUUACAAAUGAUUCUAAUUUGUUAAACUUGAUUGCCCCAUAACAAUGAAGAAUAAAGUGCAUUGAUCUUGAAAGAUUGAGGGUUAUGUGCAGUUUAUGUGUAUAGUAUCUGUCACGUAUGAGACACAUAUCUUUUCUCCUCCCCAAUAUGUGUAUAAUAUAUGACCUGUAUCUAGUCACUGCUCAGGUUAAGCCUAAGACUUUAAAUAUCAGGAUCAUUUUGUGCUGAUCCUAGCUAUAUAAAUCCGCUUUCAAAUGUCGAGUGCCUCAAGGCUCAUAUCAGAUCUUGUCACCAAUAUGUAAACUGUGAGGUUUGUGGUUCCAAGCGCCCAAGGAAAAAUUGCAAGUGUCACCUCUUAACUCAUGGGGAGCACUUACCCACCGUACUAAAAUGCAGUUUUGAGGGUUGUGACCACUCAUUUACCAAGAAAUCAAAUAUGCAGUUGAUGAGACGAAAAAAAUCUGGUGCUUUCAACAGAUCUCCUUCAAGAUUCUGUAAUUUUAUUUCAAGAGAUCUAUCAAGGGUCGACCUUUUUGCCCGAGUUUGGAUGAUACCAUAUAUAUAUAUAUAUAUAUAUAUAUAUAUAUAUAUAUAUAUAUAUCCUUGUCCUUGGGCGUCUAGAUGUCUUUCUUUCGUGAAGAUUAAAGGGCUUGAUAAAGCAAUAAGUUUCACGGUAACAUGGACGUCUAUAGUUGCUAAAACAAUCGCUUUUAUAGUUCUAUGUAGAAAUACGCUAGCUUAGUAGUACACAUCAUUUCCUUAAACUUGCAGUAGGUCAAACCCAAAUGGAAGGUGAUGCACAUAUGGGAUAGGUUUUCCUUGACUCUGAUAUGGAAGAAUCUGGUGCUGAGCUCGAUCCAUUGCAUGGAGUAAAAUCUAUCAGAGACCUUUAUGAGCUUGCUAGUGCUAAUUACUCUGGAAAAUUUACCGUGCAUGUAUGUAUCAUUCAUUCUAUGACGAUUUUAAUUAUGAUAUUUCUUUACCCUGUCGUUUGAUUUACAAGUUGGUUUUCUACUUGGAGAGUACAGGUUAUAUCCCAAAUUUUUGUGGUAUUAUGGGGAACUGCAAAUUAGUGCAGGUCUGAACUCUGAAAGGACCUAUACCCAGCUUGAUAUGGUAAUUCAGUCAAAUGUUAGUUUACACCUCUCCUGUUAUCUAAGGGCAUGUCACUUGUAGUGAAUGAUUAUUUUCAGAACUAGUCUCUUCAUUUAGAUUACUUUUGGACUACUUUGAGUUUAUUUGAGAGAUUAUGCUACAAUAUUCAUGAUCUCUGUCUAGGCUACACGUGGGAAACUGAUCAUUAACUAAUUUGUAGGUUCAAGAUAUUAUUGUGUCAAAAUCAUGUCUGCUAACUGCAAUGCCAAUGUGUUGAAGGUGUGGGACUUUCUGUAGUCAUAUUAGAGUUUAGUUUUGGCUGGAUUUAGUUGAUAGUUGCUUUUUUUGUCCACGUAUUCAGAAACUAUUGCAUUUCUUAGCUUCGCUUCCUAAAUCGAAGGGAGAUGAGGGUAGCUGGUCUUUGAUGAUGCAAAAGAUUUUACUAUCUUUGAUUGAUCUUCUGAAUAACACUUUAGAAGGCCUCGAAGAAAGUAUACUAAUCAAUUGCUCCCUCUUUUUUUUGUUUUAACUUUGUUUUGUUGUUAAAUAACAGCUUCAAGGUUAUGCUGCAGAAACAAGACGUAUAGACUAUAGAGGCUGUUACAUAAUUGGUUCUGCCAGGAAAAGACCCUCCAUCGUCCUUCAUUAAACAUAGGAGAGAAGUCCCAGAUAUGCUAAUAUCAUCCAUUGCUUCACUUGUGCAUUGUUGCUGCAUCAUGCUCACGAACUAUUAUCCUUCAGGAGAUGCGUUGCCAAGUGGAGAUUUAUGUUCUUAUCAUCGAACCUUCCCUUUCGGGAAUGGGGACAAAAGUAGGUGUCUACACCUGCAACUUUCUGUUUUGUGCCUAAAUAUGUUGGAUAUCCUUGCAGCAGUCUUUAAGGGUUUAUGCAGUCAGCUUUCUUAUUCAUUCUCGACCGAGGUUCGUCCUUUUUGCCCGAGUCUGGAAGAUAUUAUCUAUGUUAAGAGAUUGAUUGUGGAUAAUGUGAUAGGAGAACAUCGAUCACAAGCAUUCAUGAAGAUGUAUAUUUCAAAAUAAUGGUCUAGUGAUCAAAUCAACGAAGUGACAACUCAGUGGACGGGUCAUUUUCUUAUUUUGUGUUUUGUGUGUAGUUUUUCCCAUGGUGUACAAGAACGUGUAUACUCUAUGAAAAGUUUAUUUGAUAUAAUUAAGAAUGAUAGGACUUUUGUCGUAUAUUGUCGUUAAUGGAUUUUAAAAUCUUGCA